UACACGGCUCUGCUCCGUUGCCGUCCCCAUUCUCUCUCCUUCCUUGCCCUCCCCCAUACUCUCUCUCCUAAAAAACGUAGAGCCUCUGCUCUCUCCCCUGCCCGCCCCUUGUGUUCCCCAUUCUCUCUCCUUCCUUGCCCUCCCCCAUACUCUCUCUGUUAAAAAACGUAGAGCCUCUGCUCUCUCUCCCCAUCGCUAGGAGGUGCUGGUCUCCUGAAUUGCACAAUUGCUUUGUAAAAGCUCUGCAAUAAUUCGGUGGAUCUCAAGCUUGGGAACCCACUUUUGGAUUUCUCAACCGAUUUCAAUUCGAGAGCUGAGUUCUUCUGGUCUCAUGGUUUGAUAUCAGACCCUGCAUACAGAAUCUUCACUUCCUCAUGUAACUAUUCACGCUAUGUGAGCGAGUAGUACAAAGAGAAUGUGUCUCCUAUUUGUUCUCGGGUCAUGAGUCUUGUGAACCGAGAAACAAGCAAAUUUAUCGACAAAUAUGAUGGUACUCUUGAUGUUUGCAUAUCCUCUAUCUUGAUGCAGUCCAAAGGCUUGAGGCCCAUGCAAGUUUCAGAGCCUAUAGAUGUUUGUGUGGAAGAUGAGACUGUUAACUAUCUCAAUAGGAAGGAUGUUCAGAGGGCUCUCCAUGCUCGUCUUUCUGGAGUUCAUACUUGGUCGGUUUGCAGCAGGUAUAUAUAAAGGGUUUCAUUCUCUUGAUUGAAAAGAAACAACAUAUAUGCAUUUCAAGCUAGAACAUCUGUUAAUGGAGAUAGCGGUGGAGAAGAAGAUGGUUUAUCUGAUGAAGAAACCAAUUAACUCAACAUGUCCCCAGGAGUUGGUGACCCAUAGAUGGUUAUCAACAUGUCCCCGGAGGUGCUUGGGCUCCGUCAACAAUUGAAAGAGAGCUUGGGCAGAGAGAUUUUGCAUAAUUACAAUUCUCUCUUUUAUUUUGUUGUUUUUUAACUCUUUUUUAUGUAUAAGGAGGUUUUAUGUAAACAUCCACCGAGUGUAUCAGAGGAGCAUGGGUCUUGACUGUCAAUAAAACCUUUCCUACUCUUCUUUCUGUGUAAAAUAUGAUCUGAGUAGAUAAUAAAAAGAAUAAUGACA